rnacentral:rRNA from 1 species
GAUGAACGCUGGCGGCGUGCCUAAUACAUGCAAGUCGAGCGAACAGACGAGGAGCUUGCUCCUCUGACGUUAGCGGCGGACGGGUGAGUAACACGUGGAUAACCUACCUAUAAGACUGGGAUAACUUCGGGAAACCGGAGCUAAUACCGGAUAAUAUAUUGAACCGCAUGGUUCAACAGUGAAAGACGGUUUUGCUGUCACUUAUAGAUGGAUCCGCGCCGCAUUAGCUAGUUGGUAAGGUAACGGCUUACCAAGGCGACGAUGCGUAGCCGACCUGAGAGGGGGAUCGGCCACACUGGAACUGGGACACGGUCCAGACUCCUACGGGAGGCAGCAGUAGGGAAUCUUCCGCAAUGGGCGAAAGCCUGACGGAGCAACGCCGCGUGAGUGAUGAAGGUCUUCGGAUCGUAAAACUCUGUUAUGAGGGAAGAACAAAUGUGUAAGUAACUAUGCACGUCUUGACGGUACCUAAUCAGAAAGCCACGGCUAACUACGUG